AUUGAACGCUGGCGGCAUGCCUUACACAUGCAAGUCGAACGGAUUGAAGGGGCUUGCUCCUUCAGUUAGUGGCGAACGGGUGAGUAAAGCAUCGGAACGUACCCAGUCGUGGGGGAUAACGUAGCGAAAGUUACGCUAAUACCGCAUACGAUCUGAGGAUGAAAGCGGGGGAUCGCAAGACCUCGCGCGAUUGGAGCGGCCGAUGUCGGAUUAGCUAGUUGGUGGGGUAAAGGCCUACCAAGGCGACGAUCCGUAGCUGGUCUGAGAGGAUGAUCAGCCACACUGGAACUGAGACACGGUCCAGACUCCUACGGGAGGCAGCAGUGGGGAAUUUUGGACAAUGGGGGAAACCCUGAUCCAGCCAUGCCGCGUGAGUGAAGAAGGCCUUCGGGUUGUAAAGCUCUUUCAGUCGGAAAGAAAGGGCUCCGGAUAAUACCUGGAGUUGAUGACGGUACCGACAGAAGAAGCACCGGCUAACUACGUGCCAGCCGCCGCCGUAA
rnacentral:rRNA from 1 species